GGAAAGUUGCAAAGUACUUUGAAGAGAGAGUUCAAGAGGACGUGAAACCGAUAGGAUGGAAGCAGAUGAAGUUGACGAACGUGUGUCGUAUUCAAAAUCGCUGUCAGCGGUUUGUUUUUACGGCCGAUGUGGGCCGGCGGCUUUGGUCAAUGCAAUGCGUCUAGCGUCGAUGGUGACCCUGCGGAGGGACAAUCAGUCGGCGUACGGUGCUUGGUAUGGCUAAGGUUUCGCCGGUCUUAAAGUCAGCGCCUCAUCUGACCCGUCUUGAAACACGGACCAAGGAGUGUAGCGUUUGCGCAAGUCUUAGAGUGUAUCGAAACUUUGAGGCGUAACGAAAGUAAAUGCAGUUUAAUCUGCUGACUUGGGAUGCGUUGUCUCUUGUGGACGGCGCUGGACCAAGGUUUUAUCGCGAUCGCUUGCGGUGCGGUGAAAAUAGAGCGUAAACGGUGCGACCCGAAA
rnacentral:rRNA from 1 species